UACGAAGGGGGCUAGCGUUGCUCGGAAUCACUGGGCGUAAAGCGCACGUAGGCGGCUUUCUAAGUCAGGGGUGAAAUCCUGGAGCUCAACUCCAGAACUGCCUUUGAUACUGGAGAGCUAGAGUCCGGAAGAGAUGAGUGGAACUGCGAGUGUAGAGGUGAAAUUCGUAGAUAUUCGCAAGAACACCAGUGGCGAAGGCGGCUCACUGGUCCGGUACUGACGCUGAGGUGCGAAAGCGUGGGGAGCAAACAGG
rnacentral:rRNA from 1 species